rnacentral:rRNA from 1 species
GACGAACGCUGGCGGCGUGCUUAACACAUGCAAGUCGAACGAGUGGCGAACGGGUGAGUAAUGCCUAGGAAUCUGCCUGGUAGUGGGGGAUAACGUCCGGAAACGGGCGCUAAUACCGCAUACUAUCAGAUGAGCCUAGGUCGGAUUAGCUAGUUGGUGGGGUAAAGGCCUACCAAGGCGACGAUCCGUAACUGGUCUGAGAGGAUGAUCAGUCACACUGGAACUGAGACACGGUCCAGACUCCUACGGGAGGCAGCAGUGGGGAAUAUUGGACAAUGGGCGAAAGCCUGAUCCAGCCAUGCCGCGUGUAUGAAGAAGGCCUUAGGGUUGUAAAGUACUUUCAGCGGGGAGGCGUUACCCGCAGAAGAAGCACCGGCUAACUCCGUGCCAGCAGCCGCGGUAAUAC